CAAAGCCGCACAUGGCUCAUUACAACAGCCAUAGUUUAUUAGAUCGUACUUUCCUACUUGGAUAACUGUGGUAAUUCUAGAGCUAAUACACGCAGCAAAGCUCGGACUCACGAACGAGCGCAUUUAUUAGAGCAAAACCAAUCGGGUUUCGGCCCGUUCUUUGGUGAAUCUGAAUAACUCUGCAGAUCGCACGGUCUCGCACCGGCGACGCAUCUUUCAAAUGUCUGCCUUAUCAACUUUCGAUGGUAGUUUAUACGCCUACCAUGGUUGUAACGGGUAACGGAGAAUAAGGGUUCGACUCCGGAGAGGGAGCCUGAGAAACGGCUACCACAUCCAAGGAAGGCAGCAGGCACGCAAAUUACCCACUCCCGGCACGGGGAGGUAGUGACGAAAAAUAACGAGGCGGUUCUCUACGAGGCCCGCCAUCGGAAUGGGUACAAUUUAAAUCCUUUAACGAGGAUCUAUUGGAGGGCAAGUCUGGUGCCAGCAGCCGCGGUAAUUCCAGCUCCAAUAGCGUAUAUUAAAGUUGUUGCGGUUAAAAAGCUCGUAGUUGGAUCUGCGGUCAAGGGAAGUAGUCCUCCGACGGAUGGCACUGCUUUUCCUGACCUAACUACUUCGGUUUUCCCUUGAUGCUCUUAACCGGGUGUCUUGGGCGACCGAAACGUUUACUUUGAAAAAAUUAGAGUGCUUAAAGCAGGCGUUCAGCCUGAAUAGUGGUGCAUGGAAUAAUAAAAAAGGAUCUCGGUUCUAUUUUGUUGGUAUUGAAUUGAGAUAAUGAUCGAUGGGGAUAGACGGGGGCAU
rnacentral:rRNA from 1 species